rnacentral:rRNA from 1 species
CGGAUUGUAGUCUGCAACCCGACUACAUGAAGCCGGAAUCGCUAGUAAUCGCGGAUCAGAAUGCCGCGGUGAAUACGUUCCCGGGUCUUGUACACACCGCCCGUCACACCAUGGGAGUCGGGAAUGCCCGAAGUCAGUGACCCAACCUUAGGGAGGGAGCUGCCGAAGGCAGGCCUGGUGACUGGGGUGAAGUCGUAACAAGGUAUC